ensembl:lncRNA ITGA9-AS1 ITGA9 antisense RNA 1
GGGGAGAGGGGAGCGGGGCCGACACAGGACUGCAGUUGACAGCAGAUAACUGAAAGCUCGGAAAGCGAAACCGUGGAUAAGCAGGGGAACUGUGGCAUCCCAUUUAAAAUUGCUUCUGAAGAGAAGCAUGAGGUUACAUCUGUAAUCUCCCUGCAGCAGAGUCAACUGCAUAAGAAACCAAAAGACACACCUGCUCCAUGCCAGCCUAAGCCACCACAUAAAAAGUCAGACCAUCUGCUGGAAGAACCACAUGGAGAGGCCCUGAGUCAACAUGGAGAGGAAGAAGGACUUGACUGAAUCCAGCCUUCCAGCUGUCCCUACCAAGGUGCCAGGCAUGAGAAUGAAGCUGUCUUGAACUCUGAAGACCAGCUUAGCCACCAGAUGCCAAACACUGAGCAGGCUUUGUUCUCCACCCACAAACCAGAGGCUGUCUCAGCAGGAAGGAGUUGGAGUUGGAGAAAAAGGAGAAUUAAGAAUCUAUCUGGCGAUGUGGAUUAAAUAAACAACAAAUUGGCAGAUUGUUUUUAAAAGG